rnacentral:tRNA from 1 species
GCAGCUCUGGCAGUGAUGGUUCAUGCGCUGGAUUGAAGUCCCAGAUAUGUCGGUUCGAUCCCGACGGGCUGCACCA